rnacentral:rRNA from 1 species
AUUGAACGCUGGCGGCAGGCCUAACACAUGCAAGUCGAACGAGUGGCGGACGGGUGAGUAAUGUCUGGGAAACUGCCCGAUGGAGGGGGAUAAAUACUGGAAACGGUAGCUAAUACCGCAUACCAUCGGAUGUGCCCAGAUGGGAUUAGCUAGUAGGUGGGGUAACGGCUCACCUGGGCGACGAUCCCUAGCUGGUCUGAGAGGAUGACCGUCCACACUGGAACUGAGCAACGGUCCAGACUCCUACGGGAGGCAGCAGGGGGGAAUAUUGCACAAUGGGCGAAAGCCUGCUGCAGCCAGGCCGCGUGUAUGAAGAAGGCCUUCGGGUUGUAAAGUACUUUCAGCGAGGAGGCGUUACUCGCAGAAGAAGCACCGGCUAACUACGUGCCAGCAGCCGCGGUAAUUC